rnacentral:rRNA from 1 species
AGAGUUUGAUCCUGGCUCAGAGCCAACGCUGGCGGCGUGCCUAAUACAUGCAAGUCGAACGGGGAAGUACCUUCGGGUAUUGUACUAGUGGCGUACGGGUGAGUAACACGUGGAUAAUCUGCCCUCGGGUGGGGAAUAACUAACCGAAAGGUUAGCUAAUACCGCAUAAGACCACAAUCUCUACGGAGAAAGGGGUUAAAGGCUUCGGCCGCCCAAGGGAUGAGUCCGCGUCCCAUUAGCUAGUUGGUAGGGUAAAAGCCUACCAAGGCAUCGAUGGGUAGCUGGUCUGAGAGGAUGAUCAGCCACACUGGGACUGAGACACGGCCCAUACUCCUACGGGAGGCAGCAGUAGGGAAUAUUGCACAAUGGAGGAAACUCUGAUGCAGCGACGCCGCGUGAGUGAUGAAGGCCUUCGGGUUGUAAAGCUCUGUUCUCAGGGAAAAAGAAAGUGAUUGUACCUGAGGAGAAAGGACCGGCUAACUUCGUGCCANCAGCCGCGGUAAGACGAGGGGUCCUAGCGUUGCUCGGAAUUAUUGGGCGUAAAGCGGGUGUAGGUGGCUUUGUAAGUCAGAAGUGAAAGCCCUGGGCUUAACCCANGAAGUGCUUUUGAUACUGCUUAGCUUGAGUGUGGGAGAGGAUAGUAGAAUUCCUGGUGUAGUGGUGAAAUACGUANAUAUCAUGANGAAUACCGGUGG